rnacentral:rRNA from 1 species
GACGAAGGGGGCUAGCGUUGCUCGGAAUUACUGGGCGUAAAGCGCGUGUAGGCGGCUGUUCAAGUUGGGCGUGAAAGCCUUGGGCUUAACCCAAGAAAUGCGCUCAAUACUGGAUAGCUAGAGGACCGGAGAGGAUAGUGGAAUUCCCAGUGUAGUGGUGAAAUACGUAGAGAUUGGGAAGAACACCAGUGGCGAAGGCGGCUAUCUGGACGGUUUCUGACGCUAAGACGCGAAAGCGUGGGGGAGCAAACAGG